rnacentral:rRNA from 1 species
GGUUAAAAAGCUCGUAGUUGGAUCUUGGAAUGUGAACGCGAGGUCGCUUUACUGAGUGAACUUUGUGGCGCAUUCUUCCAUUUGGUCGGUGUGUUUGUGCUCUUAAUUGAGUGCAACAUGCUACCAGAAAUUUUACCUUGAAAAAAUUAGAGUGUUCAAAGCAGACCUUUUUGUGUCUGAAUAUUCGUGCAUGGAAUAAUAAAAUAUGAAUUCGGUUCUAUUUUAUUGGUUUUCGGAACUCGAGUUAAUGAUUAAGAGGGACAGACGGGGGCAUCCGUACUCUGCCGUUAGAGGUGAAAUUCUUGGAUCGGCGGAAGACGCGCAACUGCGAAAGCAUUUGCCAAGAAUGUUUUCUUUAAUCAAGAACGAUAGUCGGAGGUUCGAAGACGAUCAGAUACCGUCCUAGUUUCGACUGUAAACUAUGCCAGCUAACGAUCAGACAGCGUUCUCUACGACUUGUCUGGCAGUUUCCGGGAAACCAAAGCUUUUGGGUUCCGGGGGAAGUAUGGUUGCAAAGCUGAAACUUAAAGGAAUUGACGGAAGGGCACCACCAGGAGUGGAGCCUGCGGCUUAAUUUGACUCAACACGGGGAAACUCACCCGGCCCGGACACAGUGAGGAUUGACAGAUUGAGAGUUCUUUCUUGAU